rnacentral:lncRNA from 10 species
ACUGAUUUAUUCUGAUUCCUCCAUUAAAUCUCUCCCUUUAUCUAGUAGCAUUUUGAACUACUUUUUCCAGUUCCAUGAGAAUCAUGUCAUAUUUUUGUCAUUACUUAGAAACAUACAUAAGUAUUGGCUCAUGUUUCCCUUUAACUUUAAUAGCCUUCAGUGUCAACCCCAACUUCAAAAACACUGAAGUGCUAAGGUGACUCCAUAGCAACCACCAAUUUGCUUAUCCCUUUCUAAGUUCAAUGACACCUGGCACCUUGGCCUUUAUGCCGGAGAAUUAUAGGGAAGAUGUUUUAAGUGUUACUGUUUCCAUUUUUUUUAAGUUUUUUAUUACACAGUGGAAAAAAAAAACUAGGCUUGGGUUUGAGUCUCAGUUGGAUCACUUACUAGUUUUGUUGCUGUGGGCACCUCACUGUACUUCUAAAGCUCUCAAUAUUCCCACAUUUAAAAUGGGGUAGUGAUGCCUACCAUACCACAACACAGGGACUGUCAUCAGGAAUGAGGGAGACGAAUAUGUAAACACUUUCUCAGUCUCACAGUACUCUGUAAAAUAGAAGGUACUGUGUGUUUGGGGGAAGUAGAGAUAAUAAUUCUAUACUCUGGUCGUUCGCAAUCAUUCUUAAUAUUUCUUUUAAUUUCUGUAAUUAAAGGUUCUUGAAUUCCUAUUCUGGCUCAUUUCAGUGCCAUGUUCCAUUUAAUCUUCUCAGUCUCCCUCACUGAGCAGUCAGGAGCUUGUCCCUAUUUGAAGCUUCAGCUAGCAUUUUGCUAGUGCCUAAGCCAGUCUGUACUCCAGCCCUGCCCAGGCCCUCUUGGUGGACAGAAUCCUAGAUGUGGUAAAUAGCAUGUCUUAGCCUUGAUUCUCGCCUCUCCUUGCAUCCACUCUUUGCCUUGACUCUGGCUUUAAGCUCCGUAACUUGCUUUGGCCUCUAGGAUAUUAACGGAUGUGAUAGAAGCAGAGCCUUGAAAACUGUUUGUGACAGGGCCUGCUCUAUCACUCUCAUGCCUUUGUUAAUGCCAGUGUGAACAUGCCCAGGCUAGACUGCUGGUCCCAGGAGGAAUAGUGACACAUGGACCAAAGCAGAGUAUCCUGUCACCCUAGUCGAGAUCAAUGUAGAUUAGCCACACCCAGCAGACCCCAGAUAUGUAAGCAAUCGCUGUCAACAUCAGCAGAGCCACCUUGCUGACGCCCAGCUGGUCCCCAAUAUGUAAGCGUAAUAAUUUAUCGUUGUAUGGCUCUGAAACUGUAGGGUUGUUUGUUACAUAUUUUAAUUGUAGCAAUAGAUAAACUAGAUGUCAUAACUCUCUGAGUUCCUGGCUUUAAGAACAGUAGUCUCAGAGAUUAAGAUCCUGAAAAGUACUAUAAUGGGCAAAACAGAAGUGUCGUAAUUCACAGAGGUCCAGAGAAAUAAAAACUAAAAUGCUAUUAAAUAUAUUUUAAAAUCAGAUUCUUCAGCAUGAAACGUCUCUCUGGUGGGCAACCCAUCUCUUGAAUCACCUUCAAUGAUUAAGGAGAAAUGACCGUGGCAUUGUGAUUUGCUGAGACAGGUGCUCAUAUAAGUGCUAUGCUAUUCAGAAGGCACCACUUUUUAAAGUUUUAUACUGAGCUUCUUAGCCUAAAAUUGAAUAUCUUUUUUACUUCCAUUUCCCUUCCUUUUAUUUUCAGCAAAUGCCAGAAAAAUGGUAGCAUCAUCGCUGGCCUCUUCACCAAUUACCACAACACUUAAGUACACAUUUUCCAGAUAUGUUUUCCGGUCUGUCUAUUGAUAAAUUACACAUGUUUGAUUUCUCUAUCCAGUCCCAGUUGACCCACUUGUGGUAUACAAAAGAGAAAUACAUUAUUGAUGGUGGAAAAAAAUGUGAAGUAUUGAUACUCACCUACUUCUACUGACUUUUCAUCGCAUAACCCUGGCCCAUUAUGUAAGAAGACAUGUGAGGAUGAUAUUCCACAUCAGGAGAUUUGGGAUGGAGUACAUAGCACAAUGGACAUGAGAUGAUCAAAGUUUUCAUUCACUUUUUCUUGGGUCGACUGGUGUGAUAGCGGCACCGGGGAGGAGCCAAGAUGGCCAAAUAGGAACAGCUCCGGUCUACAGCUCCCAGCGUGAGCGACGCAGAAGACGGUGAUUU